UAACCUGCCCAAGAGAUCGGGAUAACACCUGGAAACAGAUGCUAAUACCGGAUAACAACAGAUGAUGCCUAUCAACUGUUUAAAAGAUGGUUCUGCUAUCACUCUUGGAUGGACCUGCGGUGCAUUAGCUAGUUGGUAGGGUAACGGCCUACCAAGGCGAUGAUGCAUAGCCGAGUUGAGAGACUGAUCGGCCACAUUGGGACUGAGACACGGCCCAAACUCCUACGGGAGGCAGCAGU
rnacentral:rRNA from 1 species